CCUAUCUGGUUGAUCCUGCCAGUAGUCAUAUGCUUGUUUCAAAGACUAAGCCAUGCAUGUCUAAGUCCAAGCUGUGUGUUGGGUGCAAGCUCACACACGGCGAAACCGCGGACGGCUCAUUAAAUCAGUCGUGGUCCAAAUGGGCUAGAGUUAUCUUACUUGGAUAACUGUGGUAAUUCCAGAGCUAAUACAUGCAACUGAAGUUUCGAUCGGCGUAUUUCGGUACAACGUGACGGACGCUUUUAUUAGACCAAACCGCUGAGAGAGUGUUAUGCUCUCGUAGACUCGUGUUAUGGUGACUCUGGAUAACACAUCACUUGACAAGCGCACGUAUCCAUUAGUUUGGGACGGCGCUGCCUCUUUCGAGUGUCUGCCUUAUCAGCUAUGUAUCGUUCGUUAUGUGCGACCGAUGGCUUUGACGGGUAACGGGGAAUCAGGGUUCGAUUCCGGAGAGGCAGCCUGAGAAACGGCUACCACGUCCAAGGACGGCAGCAGGCACGCAAAUUACCCAAUCCCAGCACUGGGGGGAGGUAGUGACGAAAUCUAACGAUGCGGGCGUCCCUUCUGGGGCCCCGCAAUCGGAAUGAGCGCUUUCUUUCUAAACACCCCGUUGAGAACCUACUGAAGGGCAAGUCUGGUGCCAGCAGCCGCGGUAAUUCCAGCUUCAGCAGCAUCUACUAAAGUUGCUGCGGUUAAAAGGCUCGCAGUUGAAUGUCAGUAUCAAGUACAGCGAUGGUGGACGUUGGGGUGUGGGAGUGUUCGGGCGUGCGUUUUCGAGAAGCCUCACGGUCUAUCGUGCGUGCGUUCGCCUCCCCAUUUAGCUCCCGUCCGUAACAAGCCUCCUUACUUGCGUACAAAGUGGAUCAAUCGGAACAUAUAUGUCUGGGCCACGUGUGUGUGUCACCCGCAAGGGUAUCGCGCGUGUAACCCGGGCAGUGAAAGUCGUGGGUCGAUUGUCACCUUGAGUAAAUCAGAGUGCUCAAAGCAGUCGUAAAGAACGUGCAGCUCCGCUGUACGCUCUGUGAGAAAUGUCAUUAUUGACAGACAGUCUUGAUUUUGCAUGGUAUGUCGGAAGACGCCGUACUUCCUGUUGGUAACGAGUCUGGUGCGGGCUUGCACACGAUCGCGCUUGCGUGUGACAGUGCAACAUCACGAGACCAACAGGUGCGGAAUGAUUAACAGGCACGGUCGAGGGCAUUGGUAUUGCGAGGCGAGAGGUGAAAUUCUAUGACCCCCGCAAGACCUCCUGAAGCGAAAGCGUCUGCCAAGGACGUUUUCAUUAAUCAUGAACGAAAGUUAGAGGAUCGAAGGCGAUCAGAUACCGCCCUAGUUCUAACCCUAAACGAUGCCAACCAUCAAUCCGCGCGUAGCACCCUUUCUAACGGGCUCGGCGGGCAGCUCCCCACUCACGGGAAACCAGAGUCUCUGGGUUCCGGGGGGAGUCUGGUUGCAAAGCUGAAACUUAAAGGAAUUGACGGAAAGGCACCACCAGGCGUGGRCUGCGGCUUAAUUUGACUCAACACGGGCCAUCUCACCAGGCCAGCACUCUUCUACGAUUGACAGAUUGAGAGUUCUUUCUCGAUUCAGUGGAUGGUGGUGCAUGGCCGUUCUUAGUUGGUGGAGUGAUCUGUCUGGUUAAUUCCGAUAACGAACGAGACUCUCCCCUGCUAACUAGUCGGGUUGGAUCUUGUGUCUGGAGAGUUGUGUGGCUUGUGCUCGUACGGUCGCCGCACGGCGCGCAUGUGUUCGCACACGUCGCGUUCGGGUAGCUUCCUACUUGUGCUCGUUCGCACACUCCAAGUCCGCCGCUUACUCGUGUGCGAGGUGUAACAGCCGAGUCGCGGAUAAAACUCUUCUUAGAGGGAUUCACGGUUCUGAAGCCGUAAGAAACUGAGAGCAAUAACAGGUCUGUGAUGCCCUUAGAUGUUCUGGGCCGCACGCGCGCUACAAUGCCGGGUUCAGCAGGUGUCUAUCCUUCUCCGACAGGAGUGGGUAACCCUGUGAAAGCCCUCUCUCUCUUAUUAUCAAAGGUCGUCAUGUUCGUUCACUCGGGCGUGUCACCUCCAUGGCUUGCUUGGGCCUGGGGCUUGCAAUUCUUUCCCACCAACGAGGAAUGCCUAGUAGCGGCGGGUCACUGAGCCCGCCGUGACUCAGUCCCUGCCCUUUGUACACACCGCCCGUCGCUACUACCGAUUGGGUGUACCAGUGAGAUCCUUGGACUGGCGAACCUUGUGCACUAGCGAUAGAGCACAAGUGUGAACGACGGGAAGAGGCUCGAACUGGUGCACUUAGAGGAAGUAAAAGUCGUAACAAGGUUUCCGUAGUUGAACCUGCGGAAGGAUCAUUA
rnacentral:rRNA from 1 species